CCUUAGUUACCAGCACGUUAUGUGGGCACUCUAAGGAGACUGCCGGUGACAAACCGGAGGAAGGUGGGGAUGACGUCAAGUCAUCAUGGCCCUUACGGCCUGGGCUACACACGUGCUACAAUGGUCGGUACAAAGGGUUGCCAAGCCGCGAGGUGGAGCUAAUCCCAUAAAACCGAUCGUAGUCCGGAUCGCAGUCUGCAACUCGACUGCGUGAAGUCGGAAUCGCUAGUAAUCGUGAAUCAGAAUGUCACGGUGAAUACGUUCCCGGGCCUU
rnacentral:rRNA from 1 species